rnacentral:rRNA from 1 species
UACAGAGGGGGCAAGCGUUAUUCGGAAUUAUUGGGCGUAAAGGGCGCGUAGGCGGCUUGGCAAGUGGAUGGUGAAAUCCCUCGGCUUAACCGAGGAACUGCCAUCCAGACUGCUUUGCUUGAGGCCGGGAGAGGUGAGUGGAAUUCCCAGUGUAGCGGUGAAAUGCGUAGAUAUUGGGAGGAACACCAGUGGCGAAGGCGGCUCACUGGUCCGGUACUGACGCUGAGGUGCGAAAGCGUGGGGAGCAAACAGG